CAUCAGGCAAAAGCAACUUCCUGGCAUUGCACACAGCUCUUCACCAGCUGUUAGGAAAGAUCUGCUGGUUUUAAGGGAGGGUGCCUCAGACAGGCUUGAUCAGAAUGCUUCAGGUGGUCUUCAGCAAGGAAAUAAGCACACAGGAAAGCAUCCACUGAUGGAAGAUGAUGCCUCUGGAAGGGAGAGACGCUGUGGUGAGGCACCUUCGAGCAAAGUUCCAACAGAACAGGAAAGAACCUCCCAAAGUGGGUGGCUGGCCAGAGACUCACCCUGCAGCCUCUCAAGGACCAGAGCAAGGACAGACCUCUGCCAUGGCCUCCAAGGGUGAUCUUCCUCAGGAGGCCCCCUGGAGCAGGAGGGACUGCAGCAGGGCCUCUCCACCUCACAGUACAGGUCAGAGCUUGGGACAGCAUUCACCUCAUUCUGCCUGCGAGACCCCGGCACGAGUGGUGUGUCGGAAGAAGGGGAUGGCUCCAGGUGCCAACUUCCACCCAAAGUUGGUGCCUGCAAAGCCAGGAGAUGUGUUGAACAAGAAGAUGGAAGCCAACUCUGAUCCUCCCCACAGGAAGCCAGCCCAGCAGACACGGCCACCUGCCAAAGACAAGGGGGCUCCACUGGUUCUUGCCAAAGGCGCGGCUGCUGCAGCCCCUGUGCUUGCUGUGGGAAACUCCCAAAGGAUGGAGCACCCAGCUGUGCCCCGGAGGAAGCCUUUGCCACAUGUCAGGGCACUGGGAGUGAAGCCAGGCAAGCCCCAGCGCCCUCCUAAUGUGGAUUUGGCAAAGUUCAGAGCAGCUGCAAAUCCUGGGACAUCCAUCUGUCCUGCCAAAGAACCACCAAGAAGUGAUCAGCUGGGGAUGAAGAUGAGAUAUACGAUGAUGUUGAGCCUGUUGAACCAGCCAGGAGAAGCCCAGGCCUUCGGUUGCCUUUUGUGUCCCAGCUGCCAGUGUGUCCCUGCCACAGAGGAGGUGGAAAUUCUGUCCGAGCCUCUAACAGGGUUACCUUGCUGGCUGCUACACAGAGAGAAUCCCAGGUCUCCCAGAAGAUGAAGACCAUGACACUCAAGGCAUGCAAGAAGGAAGAGAAGAUGGACAGGGGGUUUCAGAAGAAAUUCAAGGUGAGCAACAGCGAAUGAUCACUUU
rnacentral:lncRNA from 1 species